GCCAAUUUGAAAAAUAUGUAUUUUACAUGAACUAAGUGCUAUUAUCAUACGGUAAAAAUCAUAUGUUAUUUAGUCUAAGUAUAUGAUAAAUAUAUAUACAUGUAUGUAUAGACAUCUAUUUCUACAUUUAUGUGUAUGCCAUAAAACACUUUUUAUAAUCUCAAAUAUUUAGAGGUUAUGAUUCAGUGCUCCAUUAGUCUUUUUGGUUUCUAUUAAAACUUUAAACAGUUUAUUUAAUUUUCAAAAGUAAUUCAUUUUAAUGGGUUUAAUAAUAAUCAAAGAAUAGAUUUUUUUUUUAGAAUAUUUGGGGAUUUUAAAAAAAUGUAGUUAUCAGAUCUUAAUUCAGAUGUUAUAUUAUUGACAGGAAAUAAUUUACUUUCUAGACUUACAGUUAUAUUAAUACAUAAAUUUUCCGGCAAAAUAAUAAAAAUAUUUUACUUUAUCACUUUUUUCAGUUAUUACCUAAUGUGUCAGCCUGGAAGUUUAAUAAAGCCAAGCUCCAUACAAAUGAUGUUGGAUGUGGUGUCAGCCUGGAAGUUCAAUAAAGCCAAGCUCCAUACAAAUGAUGUUGGAUGUGGUGUCAGCCUGGAAAUUCAAUAAGGCCAAGCUCCAUACAAAUGAUGUUGGAUGUGGUGUCAGCAUGGAAGUUCAAUAAGGCCAAGCACCAUACAAAUGAUGUUGGAUAAGAUAAGAUAAGAUAAUUUUAUUAACAAAUCAUGGUGCCCAAAAUUUGAGCUAUACAAUAAAAUGAAUUACAAAAUAAAGCACAGAAAAUGAUUAGAAUGAUUGAAAUACAUUUAGACUAAAAAAAAACUAUAAUAAAAACCAUGAAUACACAUUCACACUAAUUAACCUGAUAUAAACCAAGUUAUUGACAAAACAGUUAUUAUGGGUGCCACUGUGACCUGGAGAAAUUACAUGAUCUUUAUAGUUCUAGGUCUAUGGGAGACAACUCCUGAUCGAUUUUAUUACCUAUAUAUCUAUAUAUAUCUUUUUCUUCUUUUAUUUUUUUUCAAACAACAAUGAUAUUUUCUAUGAUUUUCUUUUGUUCUUCAAAAAGGGAAUGCAAAAAAUUAGAUAAGUUUGAAGUAACAAACAAAUCUUCUGAUGAAAGAAUCCAAAUAAAUUUCAUUUCAUCAGAUAAUCUUGAAAAUUUGAAAAUUUAGAAUUUAAAUUAGACAGAUGUUGAUAUCUAGUGUUGGAUGUGGUAAGGCAGUUGUACAGGAAAAAAACCCAACUAGGAACAGGGUAGAUAAUGAAAAACUGGAACAUUUUAUUGAUUACAUACUGUCAUCUAAUAUUAUAAAGGAUUUGCCUUAUGGUACAAAGACCAUGAAACUUUCUCUAGGAGAGAUUGUUAAGUCCCAAACCUCAUAAGUCACAGGCCAUUCAUUAGGAGGCGGUACCCAGUACUUUCACCCUCCUAUGCUAUUGACAAGUACCGCCUAAAUGUAGGAAUUUUUAUAUAAGAUAUUCAUGGAAUAAAUUGAAAAGUACCACCUAGAAAUGUGGAAAGUACCAGGCAACAUGAAAGAUAAUGAAACGGCCCUGAUAAGAAGCUUAGCACCAUCUUCACUGAUAAGGCCAACUAAAAUUAAUUAGUAGAUUUUCAUCCAGAUUUAAAAAAAAAAUGGGGCAGGUGGGAGGAUUUUAUCUUUUUUAUUUUAUUUCAUAUGAAAUAUGGUAUAUGAGAACAUGCAUGCAUGGACUACUUAUGUGUCUUUGUGGUUGAUCUUCGAAUUCC
rnacentral:lncRNA from 1 species